rnacentral:rRNA from 1 species
AGGGAGCGUAGGCGGCUGAUUAAGUCAGCGGUGAAAGGUAGCAGCUUAACUGUUUUUACAUGCCGUUGAUACUGGUUAGCUUGAGUUGACAGAAGGCAGAUAGAAUUCCUGGUGUAGCGGUGAAAUGCUUAGAUACCAGGAGGAAUACCGAUUGCGAAGGCAGUCUGCUGCAGUCACACUGACGCUGAGGCUCGAAGGUGCGGGGAUCAAACAGGAUUAGAUACCCUUGU